rnacentral:rRNA from 1 species
GAUGAACGCUGGCGGCGUGCCUAAUACAUGCAAGUCGAGCGAACGGACGAGAAGCUUGCUCCUCUGAUGUUAGCGGCGGACGGGUGAGUAACACGUGGAUAACCUACCUAUAAGACUGGGAUAACUUCGGGAAACCGGAGCUAAUACCGGAUAAUAUUUUGAACCGCAUGGUUCAAAAGUGAAAGACGGUCUUGCUGUCACUUAUAGAUGGAUCCGCGCUGCAUUAGCUAGUUGGUAAGGUAACGGCUUACCAAGGCAACGAUGCAUAGCCGACCUGAGAGGGUGAUCGGCCACACUGGAACUGAGACACGGUCCAGACUCCUACGGGAGGCAGCAGUAGGGAAUCUUCCGCAAUGGGCGAAAGCCUGACGGAGCAACGCCGCGUGAGUGAUGAAGGUCUUCGGAUCGUAAAACUCUGUUAUUAGGGAAGAACAUAUGUGUAAGUAACUGUGCACAUCUUGACGGUACCUAAUCAGAAAGACACGGCUAACUACGUG